rnacentral:lncRNA from 1 species
AUCCCGCUUCCCUCCUGCCUCGCCACUGCAGGCCUGUCCCUUUGCUUUCUUAAAACUGCGCACCGUCUGAGGCCACUUCGAGCCUACUGGAUCCCUGGUUCCAACCCAGUAGGAUCACAGAAGCAGGGCCAGCUGCCAGGAGAAAAAGUUGUUCUCUUCUACCAAAUUUUCCUGCCAUCAAAUGCUCAUUGAGUGACAAUAGAGAAAGCACCAUCAUCCUGAAGCAUCAGAUUGGGAGAAAAGUCCGCUCUCGAGAGCAUCAACUAUGUAGAAAGGGGACCAUAAAGGCAAAAUAGACCUUCAGAGAAAUAAAGUCUGGGAAAUUGACUAGAUCCUCACUGAAAGAACUACUAAAGGAUGUACUUAUGGAAGAAGAAAAUUACAAAGUGAAAGAACUGGGAUGCAAGAAGUAAUGGUGAGCAUGGAAUUUGGCAAAGAUUCAAGUAAAACAAAGCAAGGACUGAGUAUAUAAAAUCAUAAUCAUAACAAAUUUUGACUAUUAUAUGUAACAGCCAAUCUCUUAACUGGGUCAUAAUAAGAAAGUGAAAGGCAGAAAAAAUGACAAAAAGAAUAAUUAGAAUGUUAAUAAGAAGAGUAACAAGAUUUUGAAAAAUUUGUGCUGGUUGAUAUCAACUUUUGGCACUUU